rnacentral:rRNA from 1 species
UUNUGAACUGGGUGACUAGAGUGUGUCAGAGGGAGNUAGAAUUCCACGUGUAGCAGUGAAAUGCGUAGAGAUGUGGAGGAAUACCGAUGGCGAAGGCAGCNUCCUGGGAUAACACUGACGUUCAUGCCCGAAAGCGUGGGUAGCAAACAGGAUUAGAUACCCNUGGUAGUCCACGCCCUAAACGAUGUCGAUUAGCUGUUGGGCAGCAUGACUGCUUAGUAGCGAAGCUAACGCGUGAAAUCGACCGCCUGGGGAGUACGGUCGCAAGAUUAAAACUCAAAGGAAUUGACGGGGACCCGCACAAGCGGUGGAUGAUGUGGAUUAAUUCGAUGCAACGCGAAGAACCUUACCUGGUCUUGACAUGUACGGAACCCUCCAGAGACGGAGGGGUGCCUUCGGGAGCCGUAACACAGGUGCUGCAUGGCUGUCGUCAGCUCGUGUCGUGAGAUGUUGGGUUAAGUCCCGCAACGAGCGCAACCCUUGUCAUUAGUUGCCAUCAUUAAGUUGGGCACUCUAAUGAGACUGCCGGUGACAAGCCGGAGGAAGGUGGGGAUGACGUCAAGUCCUCAUGGCCCUUAUGACCAGGGCUUCACACGUCAUACAAUGGUCGGUACAGAGGGUAGCCAAGCCGCGAGGUGGAGCCAAUCUCACAAAACCGAUCGUAGUCCGGAUUGCACUCUGCAACUCGAGUGCAUGAAGUCGGAAUCGCUAGUAAUCGCAGGUCAGCAUACUGCGGUGAAUACGUUCCCGGGUCUUGUACACACCGCCCGUCACACCAUGGGAGUGGGGGAUACCAGAAGUA